CCUACGGGUGGCAGCAGUGAGGAAUAUUGGUCAAUGGCCGAAAGGCUGAACCAGCCAAGUCGCGUGAAGGAUGAAGGCUCUAUGGUUUGUAAACUUCUUUUAUAUGGGAAUAAAAUGUUCCACGUGUGGGAUUUUGUAUGUACCAUAUGAAUAAGGAUCGGCUAACUCCGUGCCAGCAGCCGCGGUAAUACGGAGGAUGCGAGCGUUAUCCGGAGUUAUUGGGGUUAAAGGGUGCGUAGGUGGAUUGUUAAGUCAGUUGUGAAAGUUUGCGGCUCAACCGUAAAAUUGCAGUUGAAACUGGAAGGCUUGAGUGUGGUAGAGGUAGGCGGAAUUCGUGGUGUAGCGGUGAAAUGCGUAGAUAUCACGAAGAACACCGAUUGCGAAGGCAGUUUACUGGACCAUAACUGACACUGAGGCUCGAAAGCGUGGGGAUCAAACAGGAUUAGAUACCCGUGUAGUC
rnacentral:rRNA from 1 species